GCGGCGGUGAUCUAGUGGCUACGACUGGUUGCGUUGAGUUAAUUCGCACCUAGACGCCACUUAUGAUAGGGCCUUGCCAAGGCUCUUACCCGGGUUCAAAUCCCGGCCGCCGCA
rnacentral:tRNA from 1 species